rnacentral:rRNA from 1 species
UACGUAGGGGGCAAGCGUUGUCCGGAUUUAUUGGGCGUAAAGAGCGUGUAGGCGGCCUGACAGGUCUGCUGUGAAAACUCGAGGCUCAACCUCGAGAUGUCGGCGGAAACCGUCUGGCUAGAGUCCGGAAGAGGAGAGUGGAAUUCCUGGUGUAGCGGUGAAAUGCGCAGAGAUCAUGAGGAAGACCAGUGGCGAAGGCGGGUCUCUGGACAGUUCCUGACACUGAGACACGAAGGCCAGGGGAGCAAACGGG